rnacentral:Y_RNA from 1 species
GGCUGGUUCGAAGAUAAUGUUAUCUCAAUUAAUUGUUCACAGUCAGUUACAGAUUAAACUCCUUGUGCUACUCUUUCCCCCACUUCUCACUGCUGCACUUGACUAGUCUAGA